rnacentral:rRNA from 2 species
GAAGGAAUCUUGCGCAAUGGGCGAAAGCCAGACGCAGCGACGCCGCGUGGACGAUGAAGGCCUUCGGGUUGUAAAGUCCUUUUCCGAGGGAAGAGAAGGGACGGUACCUCGGGAAUAAGCCUCGGCUAACUACGUGCCAGCAGCCGCGGUAAUCCGUAGGAGGCGAGCGUUAUCCGGAAGUACUGGGCGUAAAGGGCGCGCAGGCGGCUAGCGAAAGUCGUGCGUGAAAGCCCCCGGCUCAACCGGGGGAGGUCGUGCGAUACUUCCUAGCUUGAGGUCAGAAGAGGAGAGCGGAAUUCCCGGUGUAGCGGUGAAAUGCGUAGAUAUCGGGAGGAGCACCAGUGGCGAAGGCGGCUCUCUGGUCUGCACCUGACGCUGAGGCGCGAAAGCGUGGGGAGCGAUCGGG